AGCGAACGCUGGCGGCAGGCCUAAUACAUGCAAGUCGAACGGUCUCUUCGGAGGCAGUGGCGGACGGGUGAGUAACGCGUGGGAACGUGCCCUUUGGUACGGAACAACUGAGGGAAACUUCAGCUAAUACCGUAUGUGCCCUUCGGGGGAAAGAUUUAUCGCCAUUGGAGCGGCCCGCGUUGGAUUAGCUAGUUGGUGGGGUAAUGGCCCACCAAGGCGACGAUCCAUAGCUGGUCUGAGAGGAUGAUCAGCCACACUGGGACUGAGACACGGCCCAGACUCCUACGGGAGGCAGCAGUAGGGAAUCUUGCGCAAUGGGCGAAAGCCUGACGCAGCCAUGCCGCGUGAAUGAUGAAGGUUUUAGGAUUGUAAAAUUCUUUCACCGGGGACGAUAAUGACGGUACCCGGAGAAGAAGCCCCGGCUAACUUCGUGCCAGCAGCCGCAGUAAU
rnacentral:rRNA from 1 species